rnacentral:rRNA from 1 species
AGAGAGAGACAUGCGCGCAUAUCAAUAAGCGGAGGAAAAGAAACUAACAAGGAUUCCCCUAGUAACGGCGAGUGAAGCGGGAAGAGCUCAAAUUUGAAAUCUUAAAGGGUUUCCCUUUACGAAUUGUAGUUUAAAGAAGUGUUUUCUGUUGAGGUUUUGGUAAAAGUUCUUUGGAAUAGGACAUCAUAGAGGGUGAGAAUCCCGUAUUUGACCUUUACUUUCAACUUUGUGAUACACUUUCGAAGAGUCGGAUUGUUUGGGAAUGCAGUCCAAAAUGGGUGGUAAAUUUCAUCUAAAGCUAAAUAUUGGCGAGAGACCGAUAGCGAACAAGUACCGUGAGGGAAAGAUGAAAAGAACUUUGAAAAGAGAGUUAAACAGUACGUGAAAUUGUCAAAAGGGAAGCGUUUGACACCAGUGUUGUUUUUCUGAAAAUCAAUUAAAGAACUGUUUAUGCUAAGCUGUUUAGACUUUAUCAGCUAACUGUUUAGUUUUGAGCUUUUCUUUAAUGCACUUUUCAGUUAACAAGUCAACAUCAAUUUCUUUUGCUGUAAAAAAGCUUGAGGAAGGUGGCUUGAGAUUCGUCUUAAGUGUUUAUAGCCUCUUGCCUAUGCAGUCGGAGAGAUUGAGGUCUGCAGCGUAGAUCCUUCGGGGCUAAAUGCAUUUGUGCUAAGUUAUAGCAUUUUAUAGACAACUUGUUGACUAUGAUUUGUCUUGUAGCUUACUCGCUUAUGUUAUUUUACCUACGCUUAGGAUGUUGAGCGCAUGUCUCUCUCU